AGUGAACGCUGGCGGUAGGCCUAACACAUGCAAGUCGAACGGCAGCACAGUAAGAGCUUGCUCUUACGGGUGGCGAGUGGCGGACGGGUGAGGAAUACAUCGGAAUCUACUUUUUCGUGGGGGAUAACGUAGGGAAACUUACGCUAAUACCGCAUACGACCCACGGGUGAAAGCAGGGGAUCUUCGGACCUUGCGCGAUUGAAUGAGCCGAUGUCGGAUUAGCUAGUUGGCGGGGUAAAGGCCCACCAAGGCGACGAUCCGUAGCUGGUCUGAGAGGAUGAUCAGCCACACUGGAACUGAGACACGGUCCAGACUCCUACGGGAGGCAGCAGUGGGGAAUAUUGGACAAUGGGCGCAAGCCUGAUCCAGCCAUACCGCGUGGGUGAAGAAGGCCUUCGGGUUGUAAAGCCCUUUUGUUGGGAAAGAAGAGCAGCAGGUUAAUACCCCGCUGUUCUGACGGUACCCAAAGAAUAAGCACCGGCUAACUUCGUG
rnacentral:rRNA from 1 species